rnacentral:rRNA from 1 species
CCUACGGGUGGCUGCAGUGGGGAAUUGUUCGCAAUGGGCGAAAGCCUGACGACGCAACGCCGCGUGGGGGAUGAAGGUCUUCGGAUUGUAAACCCCUGUCGUGUGGGAAGAACGACCUCGUGGUGAACAGCCAUGGGGUUUGACGGUACCACGUGAGGAAGCCCCGGCUAACUCUGUGCCAGCAGCCGCGGUAAUACAGAGGGGGCAAGCGUUGUUCGGAAUUACUGGGCGUAAAGGGCGCGUAGGCGGCCUACUAAGUCAUACGUGAAAUCCCACGGCUCAACCGUGGAACUGCGUCUGAGACUGGAAGGCUUGAAUUCGGGAGAGGGAUGCGGAAUUCCAGGUGUAGCGGUGAAAUGCGUAGAUAUCUGGAGGAACACCGGUGGCGAAGGCGGCAUCCUGGACCGACAUUGACGCUGAGGCGCGAAAGCCAGGGGAGCAAACGGGAUUAGAUACCCCAGUAGUC